ACGCCUUAUACAUGCAAGUCGAACGAAGUAGCAAUACUUAGUGGCAGACGGGUGAGUAACAUGUGGGUAUCUUCCCUUUGGUGAGGAAUAACACGAGGAAACUUGUGCUAAUACCUCAUAAGUCUUUACAGAGAAAGCUUUAUGCGCCAAUGGAUGAGCCCGCACUUGAUUAGUUUGUUGGCAGGGUAAUGGCCUACCAAGACUUUGAUCAAUAGCUGAUCUGAGAGGAUGAUCAGCCACAUUGGGACUGAGACACGGCCCAAACUCCUACGGGAGGCAGCAGUAGGGAAUAUUGCACAAUGGAGGAAACUCUGAUGCAGCGAUGCCGCGUGAGUGAAGAAGGCCCUUGGGUUGUAAAGCUCUUUCGUCGGGGAAGAAAAUGACUGUACCCGAAUAAGAAGGUCCGGCUAACUUCGUGCCAGCAGCCGCGGUAAUACGAAGGGACCUAGCGUAGUUCGGAAUUACUGGGCUUAAAGAGUUCGUAGGUGGUUAAAAAAGUUGGUGGUGAAAUCCCAGAGCUUAACUCUGGAACUGCCAUCAAAACUUUUUAGCUAGAGUAUGAUAGAGGAAAGCAGAAUUUCUAGUGUAGAGGUGAAAUUCGUAGAUAUUAGAAAGAAUACCAAUUGCGAAGGCAGCUUUCUGGAUCAUUACUGACGCUGAGGAACGAAAGCAUGGGUAGCGAAGAGGAUUAGAUACCCUCGUAGUCCAUGCCGUAAACGAUGUGUGUUAGACGUUGGAAAUUUAUUUUCAGUGUCGCAGCGAAAGCAUUAAACACACCGCCUGGGGAGUAC
rnacentral:rRNA from 1 species